CGCAUCUGUGCAUGCAGCAUAUCAAUAAGCGGAGGAAAAGAAACUAACAAGGAUUCCCCUAGUAACGGCGAGUGAAGCGGGAAGAGCUCAAAUUUGAAAUCUUAAAGGGUUUCCCUUUACGAAUUGUAGUUUAAAGAAGUGUUUUCUGUUGAGGUUUUGGUAAAAGUUCUUUGGAAUAGGACAUCAUAGGAGGGUGAGAAUCCCGUAUUUGACCUUUACUUUCAACUUUGUGAUACACUUUCAAUGAGUCGGAUUGUUUGGGAAUGCAGUCCAAAAUGGGUGGUAAAUUUCAUCUAAAGCUAAAUAUUGGCGAGAGACCGAUAGCGAACAAGUACCGUGAGGGAAAGAUGAAAAGAACUUUGAAAAGAGAGUUAAACAGUACGUGAAAUUGUCAAAAGGGAAGCGUUUGACACCAGUGUUGUUUUUCUGAAAAUCAAUUAAAGAACUGUUUAUGCUAAGUUGUUUAGACUUUAUCAGCUAUCUGUUUAGUUUUGAGCUUUUCUUUAAUGCACUUUUCAGUUAACAAGUCAACAUCAAUUUCUUUUGCUGUAAAAAAGCUUGAGGAAGGUGGCUUGAGAUUCGUCUUAAGUGUUUAUAGCCUCUUGCCUAUGCAGUCGGAGAGAUUGAGGUCUGCAGCGUAGAUCCUUCGGGGCUAAAUGCAUUUGUGCUAAGUUAUAGCAUUUUAUAGACAACUUGUUGACUAUGAUUUGUCUUGUAGCUUACUCGCUUAUGUUAUUUUACCUACGCUUAGGAUGUUGAACGCGCACAGAGUCUC
rnacentral:rRNA from 1 species